rnacentral:lncRNA from 1 species
GGAUCCAACAUGCUAGUGGUGAGAUUUGGCUGUGAUUUGACCAAUCACAGAUUUGAUGACACACAAGGCUAUAUAUACAAAGUGAGGGGACACGUUGAGACGCGCCCUUUAGAAAGGACGCCACAAAGGCGGUUGUUAAGCAUGGAUUAUUAGGAUUAUAAUUAAUCCUUAACACUCCCCCUAAUCUAUGCUUAUCUUCGGUUAUAUGCAC